rnacentral:lncRNA from 1 species
GAAAGCUAGUGAAGAGGAAACAAACAGUACAGUUUAAAUCCCAUUAUAGAGGUAUUGAGAGGAUGCGUUGGGAGCAGGCAAGAAGAAUUACCAUGGGAAAAUCUGAGAAACAUUUUUAAGGGGAUGAAGAAUAGGAAAUUAUCGUAAGACACACUGGGAGAGAUACUGCUCAUGUCAAUUGGAAGAGCAACAUAAAAACAUGAAGAUGGCAACAAGGGUGGUGUCUUUAAGAGUUGAUUGGGCUCCUUCCUCCUGAGUGGGUUUAAGUACCUAACAAAAGAGGCUUCAAGCAGUAUUCAGCUCUCUUGCCCUUCCGCUCUCUGCUAUGUGAAGACACAGUGUUCCUCCCCUCUCCCUUCUGGAAGACACAGCGACAAUGUGCCAUAUCGGAAGGAAGCAGAGAACAUCCCUCACCAAAUAAUCAAUCCUGCUGGUGCCUUAAUUAUGAACUUCUCAGCCUGCAGAACUCAUGAAGGCCAUCAUCGGAUGUGGGCUGAUUGAUCUUGGACUUCCAAGCCUCCAGAACUAGAACUACUCCACCAUCAUCUGAUGUGGUUCUGAUGGCUGUGUGUUUCUCAGCUUUAUCCUCAGCCUGUGGGUAAUUUAAAAUAAAUACUUUUGCAAGUGAACCAAUAGAAAUAUUUCACUGUCAUUGGGCAGAAAGCUAAAAACCUAAUUACGUUGGAAGUAGGAAGAGGAAGUAAGUAUGGUUGGAAGAGGUGGAGUCUGGUGCUGCCAGAGCAGAAAGCACAAAGAAGAACGUGCUUUUAGGUGGGUGCCCUAAGAGACAUGAUAAGUGAAAAAGGCCUAGAUGCCCCAAAUUGCAAAAGUAAUGAAAAAGACCCAGUGAUAAUAAUGCGAUUGGAAAGGAAGACACUGAUUUCUCACAUGACUGUGGCAAACUGUGAAGAGUGAAAAUUCCAGAAGACUUAAAUUGUCUAUAGUUUUGGCAUCUCUCCCUCUAUGUACUUGCUAUCUUUUUUUUGCUUUUAAGUCUGCUUAGUUACAACUGCAGACCACAGUAAAAUUAUAGAUUUGGAGAUGUUGGAAUGUUUCCUCAAAGAUAAAAGCCAAUUAAAAAAAUUUUAACAAAGAACAGAAGAAGCAAUCAAGAGUUUGUAACAAAUUAUUAGGAUUAAUAAAAAAUAUGCUUUGUAGCCCUGUUUUGUCCUAGUAGACUCCAUAUAUGUGCUUAAAGAUCAAGGAGAGAUUGUUCGUAAGUUUUUUUAAAAAAUAUUUCUAUAACAGAGAACAUAAUCUAGCAUGAUUUUCCAUGAAUAGUCUCCCCUUCAUUAUUG